rnacentral:rRNA from 1 species
AUGAAGAGAAACAGAUCCAAGACAAACAGCUUUUGUGCACUUAAGCUUGAUAUGAUGAAGGCAUAUGACAGACUAGAGUGGCCUUAUCUAAAGGCAAUUAUGGUUAAGCUUGGCUUUGCACCAGAUUGGAUCCAUACAGUUAUGAGCAUGAUCACUUCUGUUUCAUUCUCGGUCUUGUUUAAUGGAGAAAGAUUAGAGAGCUUCUCACCUUCCAGGGGUAUCAGGCAGGGAGAUCCUAUUUCCCCUUACUUAUUCUUGAUUGCAGCGGAGGGCCUUUCGUGCCUUUUAAAACACAGUUCUCAGUCAUUAGUGCUCGGUGGCAUAAAGGUGGCGCCCACGGCUCCGGUAGUGAACCACCUUUUGUUUGCAGAUGACAGCCUGCUGCUUUUCAAGUCUAGUGUCCAGGGGGCAAAUGAGGUUUCAAACCUACUUGAUGCAUAUUGCUUGGCUUCGGGCCAAAGGGUAAACUAUGAUAAAUCGUCCAUAUUUUUCAGUAAGGGAUGCCCGGAGACCCUCAGGGUGGAGAUAAAGAAUAUACUUAAUGUGCAGAAUGAGUCUUUGAGUGAAAAGUAUUUGGGUCUGCCGACCGAUGUUGGACAGUCCAAAAAUGGCACCUUCAAAUAUUUACGAGACAGAGUUUGGGAAAGGAUAAAGGGAUGGAUGGAGAAAUUUUUAUCAGUGGCAGGAAAGGAGGUUCUCAUAAAAUCUGUGGCUCAAGCUUUACUAGUUUUUUCGAUGUCUUGCUUCAGAUUACCUCGAGGCCUUUGUGGAAGCAUUACGUCACUCAUUCGUCAAUUUUGGUGGGGGAGCAAGAGAGGCAAGAGGAAACCAUGUUGGGUAGCUUGGGAUUUGAUGACCCGACCGAAAAGUUUGGGAGGACUUGGCUUUCGGGAUAUAGAAAUCUUCAACUUGGCACUUUUGUCUCGGCAAAUUUGGAGAUUAUUGAAUGAUCCCUCCUCUCUUAGUGCACAAAUCCUUAAAGCAUCAUAUUUUCCACAAUGUACAGUCCUUGAAGCUCAACUAGGUCCACAUCCUUCUCAGGUGUGGCGAUCUAUACUUGAUGGGAGAGAUAUUAUCACCCAAGGAGCUAUC